rnacentral:rRNA from 1 species
GACGAACGCUGGCGGCGUGCUUAACACAUGCAAGUCGAACGGAAAGGCCCUGCUUUUGUGGGGUGCUCGAGUGGCGAACGGGUGAGUAACACGUGAGUAACCUGCCCUUGACUUUGGGAUAACUUCAGGAAACUUGGGCUAAUACCGGAUAGGAGCUCCCGCUGCAUGGUGGGGGUUGGAAAGUUUCGGCGGUUGGGGAUGGACUUGCGGCUUCUCAGCUUGUUGGUGGGGUAGUGGCUUACCAAGGCUUUGACGGGUAGACGACCUGAGAGGGUGACCGGCCACAUUGGGACUGAGAUGCGACACAGACUAAUACGGGAGGCAACGGUGGGGAGUAUUACACAGUGGGAGGGAGCAUGGUGCGACAAAGCCGCGUGCGGGAUGACAUCCUGCGGGUUGUAAACCGCUAUCGUCUGUGACGAAGCGUGAAUGACGGUAAUGGGUGAAGAAGCACCGGCUAACUACGUG